rnacentral:rRNA from 1 species
AAAGCCCGUGGCUCAACCACGGAAUGGCCUUCGAUACUGGCAGGCUUGAGACCGGAAGAGGACAGCGGAACUGCGAGUGUAGAGGUGAAAUUCGUAGAUAUUCGCGGGAACACCAGUGGCGAAGGCGGCUGUCUGGUCCGGUUCUGACGCUGAGGCGCGAAAGCGUGGGGAGCGAACGGGAUUAGAUACCCUGGUAGUCCACGCUGUAAACGAUGAAUGCUAGACCGAUUGGGGUGCAUGAACCUCAGUGGCGCCGCUAACGCAUUAAGCAUUCCGCCUGGGGAGUACGGCCGCAAGAUUAAAACUCAUAGGAAUUGACGGGGGCCGGCACGGGCGGUGGAGCCAUGUGGUUAGUUCGGAGCAACGCGGCAGAACCUUACCAUCCUUUGACAUGGCGUGCUAUGGGGAGAGAUCUCCAGUUCCCUUCGGGGACGCGCACACAGGUGCUGCAUGGCUGUCGUCAGCUCGUGUCGUGAGAUGUUGGGUUAAGUCCCGCAACGAGCGCAACCCUCGCCCUUAGUUGCCAUCAUUCAGUUGGGCACUCUAGGGGGACUGCCGGUGAUAAGCCGCGAGGAAGGUGGGGAUGACGUCAAGUCCUCAUGGCCCUUACGGGAUGGGCUACACACGUGCUACAAUGGCGGUGACAAUGGGAAGCGAAGGGGCGACCUGGAGCGAAUCCCCAAAAGCCGUCUCAGUUCAGAUUGCACUCUGCAACUCGAGUGCAUGAAGGCGGAAUCGCUAGUAAUCGUGGAUCAGCACGCCACG